GAUGAACGCUGGCGGCGUGCCUAAUACAUGCAAGUCGAGCGAACGGACGAGAAGCUUGCUUCUCUGAUGUUAGCGGCGGACGGGUGAGUAACACGUGGAUAACCUACCUAUAAGACUGGGAUAACUUCGGGAAACCGGAGCUAAUACCGGAUGAUAUUUUGAACCGCAUUGUUCAAAAGUGAAAGACGGUCUUGCUGUCACUUAUAGAUGGAUCCUCGCUGCAUUAGCUAGUUGGUAAGGUAACGGCUUACCAAGGCAACGAUGCAUAGCCGACCUGAGAGGGUGAUCGGCCACACUGGAACUGAGACACGGUCCAGACUCCUACGGGAGGCAGCAGUAGGGAAUCUUCCGCAAUGGGCGAAAGCCUGACGGAGCAACGCCGCGUGAGUGAUGAAGGUCUUCGGAUCGUAAAACUCUGUUAUUAGGGAAGAACAUAUGUGUAAGUAACUGUGCACAUCUUGACGGUACCUAAUCAGAAAGCCACGGCUAACUACGUG
rnacentral:rRNA from 1 species